UGGCGGUAUGCUUACACAUGCAAGUCGAACGGUAGCAGCAGAGCUUGCUCUGGCUGACGAGUGGCGGACGGGUGCGUAACGCGUGGGAAUUUACCUUGUAGUGGGGGAUAGCCCGGAGAAAUCCGGAUUAAUACCGCAUAAUCUCUACGGUAGCAAAGUGGGGGAUCUUCGGACCUCACGCUAUUAGAUGAGCCCGCGUUAGAUUAGCUUGUUGGUGAGGUAAUGGCUCACCAAGGCAACGAUCUAUAGCUGGUUUGAGAGGAUGAUCAGCCACACUGGGACUGAGACACGGCCCANACUAAUACGGGAGGCAGCAGUGGGGAAUAUUGGACAAUGGGCGCAAGCCUGAUCCAGCAAUACCGCGUGUGUGAAGAAGGCCUGAGGGUUGUAAAGCACUUUCAAUAGAGACGAAAAGCUUAGGGUUAAUAACCCUGAGUCUUGACUUAACCUAUAGAAGAAGCACCGGCUAACUCCGUGCCAGCAGCCACGGUAAUACGGAGGGUGCAAGCGUUAAUCGGAAUUACUGGGCGUAAAGCGCUCGUAGGCGGUUUGUUAAGUCGGAUGUGAA
rnacentral:rRNA from 1 species